rnacentral:rRNA from 1 species
CCUACGGGAGGCAGCAGUGGGGAAUAUUGGACAAUGGGCGCAAGCCUGAUCCAGCCAUGCCGCGUGGGUGAAGAAGGCCUUCGGGUUGUAAAGCCCUUUUGUCCGGAAAGAAAAGCACGGGAUUAAUACCCUCGUGUGAUGACGGUACCGGAAGAAUAAGCACCGGCUAACUUCGUGCCAGCAGCCGCGGUAA